CACGUAGGGUGCGAGCGUUGUCCGGAAUUAUUGGGCGUAAAGAGCUCGUAGGCGGUCUGUCGCGUCGGUCGUGAAAACCUGCAGCUUAACUGUGGGCUUGCGGUCGAUACGGGCAUGACUGGAGUUCGGCAGGGGAGACUGGAAUUCCUGGUGUAGCGGUGAAAUGCGCAGAUAUCAGGAGGAACACCGGUGGCGAAGGCGGGUCUCUGGGCCGAUACUGACGCUGAGGAGCGAAAGUGUGGGGAGCGAACAGG
rnacentral:rRNA from 1 species